rnacentral:rRNA from 1 species
CCUACGGGCGGCAGCAGUGGGGAAUAUUGCACAAUGGGCGCAAGCCUGAUGCAGCAACGCCGCGUGAAGGAUGAAGGCCUUCGGGUUGUAAACUUCUGUCCUAGGGGAAGAAACAAAUGACAUUACCCUUGGAGGAAGCCCCGGCUAACUACGUGCCAGCAGCCGCGGUAAUACGUAGGGGGCGAGCGUUAUCCGGAAUUAUUGGGCGUAAAGAGUGCGUAGGUGGCACCUUAAGCGCAGGGUUUAAGGCAAUGGCUCAACCAUUGUUCGCCUUGCGAACUGGGGUGCUUGAGUGCAGGAGGGGAAAGUGGAAUUCCUAGUGUAGCGGUGAAAUGCGUAGAUAUUAGGAGGAACACCAGUGGCGAAGGCGACUUUCUGGACUGUUACUGACACUGAGGCACGAAAGCGUGGGGAGCAAACAGGA